UACGGGGGGGGCAAGCGUUGUUCGGAAUUACUGGGCGUAAAGGGCGCGUAGGCGGGUGGACAAGUCUCUCGUGAAAGCCCACGGCUCAACCGUGGAAUUGCGGGAGAUACUGUCUGUCUUGAGUCCGGGAGAGGAGGGUGGAAUUCCCAGUGGAGCGGUGAAAUGCGUAGAUAUUGGGAGGAACACCGGUGGCGAAGGCGGCUCUCUGGACCGGUACCGACGCUGAGGCGCGAAAGCUAGGGGAGCUAACGGG
rnacentral:rRNA from 1 species